CCUUGACAUGGUCGGAAUCCUGAAGAGAUUCGGGAGUGCUCGAAAGAGAACCGGCGCACAGGUGCUGCAUGGCUGUCGUCAGCUCGUGUCGUGAGAUGUUGGGUUAAGUCCCGCAACGAGCGCAACCGUUGUCCUUAGUUGCUUCGCAAGAGCACUCUAAGGAGACUGCCGGUGACAAACCGGAGGAAGGUGCGGAUGACGUCAAGUCCUCAUGGCCCUUAUCGGUAGGGCUUCACACCUCAUACAAUGGUCGGAACAGAGGGUUGCCAACCCGCGAGGGGCAGCUAAUCCCAGAAUACCGUUCGUAGUCCGGAUUGCACUCUGCAACUCGAGUGCAUGAAGCUGGAAUCGCUAGUAA
rnacentral:rRNA from 1 species